rnacentral:rRNA from 1 species
UACGUAGGGGGCUAGCGUUGUCCGGAUUUAUUGGGCGUAAAGAGCGUGUAGGCGGCCAUGUAGGUCCGGUGUGAAAACUCGAGGCUUAACCUCGAGAUGUCAUCGGAAACCAUUUGGCUAGAGUCCGGAAGAGGAGAGUGGAAUUCCUGGUGUAGCGGUGAAGUGCGCAGAUAUCAGGAAGAACACCAAUGGCGAAAGCAGCUCUCUGGGACGGUACUGACGCUGAGACGCGAAAGCGUGGGGAGCGAACAGG